rnacentral:rRNA from 1 species
CCUACGGGCGGCUGCAGUCGAGAAUCAUUCACAAUGGGGGAAACCCUGAUGGGGCGACGCCGCGUGGGGGAAUGAAGGUCUUCGGAUUGUAAACCCCUGUCAUGGGGGAGCAAAUUAAAAAGAUAGUACCACAAGAGGAAGAGACGGCUAACUCUGGGCCAGCAGCCGCGGGAAUACAGAGGUCUCAAGCGUUGUUCGGAACCCCUGGGCGUAACGCGUGCGUAGGCUGUUUCGUAAGUCGUGUGUGAAAGGCGCGGGCUCAACCCGCGGACGGCACCUGUUACUGCGAGACUAGAGUAAUGGAGGGGGAACCGGAAUUCUCGGUGUAGCCGU